ensembl:snRNA U5 U5 spliceosomal RNA
AUACUCUGGUUUCUCCUCAAAUCAUAUAAAUCUUUUCCCUUUGGCUAAAGAUUUCCAUGGAGAGGAACAGCUCUGAGUCUUAAAUCAAGUUUCUAAGGCCUUGUUUUGGCAAGGCU